rnacentral:rRNA from 1 species
UAAGACAGAGGGUGCAAACGUUGCUCGGAAUUACUGGGCGUAAAGCGCGUGUAGGUGGAUUGGUGUGUCAGAUGUGAAAGCCCUGGGCUCAACCCAGGAACUGCACCUGAAACUACCAGUCUUGAGUGGUGGAGAGGGAAGUGGAAUUCCUGGUGUAGAGGUGAAAUUCGUAGAUAUCAGGAGGAACACCAGUGGCGAAGGCGGCUUCCUGGACACUAACUGACGCUGAGACGCGAAAGCGUGGGGAGCAAACAGGAUUAGAUACCCUGGUAGUCCACGCCGUAAACGAUGGGCACUAGGUGUCGCAGGUUUUGACCCCUGCGGUGCCGUAGCAAACGCGUUAAGUGCCCCGCCUGGGGAGUACGGCCGCAAGGCUA